UUCCGGUUGAUCCUGCCGGAGGUCACUGCUAUNCGGAUCCGACUAANCCAUGCAAGUUUUGAUGUUCAACUCUGAACACCAGGGCGAAAAGCUCAGUAACACGUAGUUAAUCUGCCCUUAUGUCUGGGAUAAUCUCGGGAAACUGAGGCCNAUACCAGAUAGAUAANAGAUACUGGAAUGUGCUCUUAUCCNAAGCCAUGUGCGCGUAAGGAUGAGACUGCGUCGGAUUAGGUUGUUGCUGGGAUAAUACCCCGGCGAGCCGAUAAUCCGUACGAGCCUUGAGAGAGGGAGCUCGGAGAUGGAUUCUGAGACAAGAAUCCAGGCCCUACGGGGCGCANCANGCGCGAAAAUUUCCCAAUGCACGAAAGUGUGAGGAAGGGAUCUGGAGUGUCUUNCAUUAUAUGGGGGACUUUUGUGGAGUGUAAACAGCUUCACGAAUAAGUGGUGGGUAAGACGGGUGCCAGCCGCCGCGGUAAUACCCGCGCCACGAGUGGUGACCAUUUUUAUUGGGCUUAAAGCGUUCGUAGCCGGUCCAGAAAGUCUCUAGUGAAAUCCCGCAGCCAACUGCGGGGCUUGCUAGGGAAACUUCUAGACUUGGGACCGGGAGAGGUCGAGGGUAUUCCACGGGUAGGGGUAAAUCCUGUAAUCCUUGGGAGANCAUCUGUGGCGAAGNGCUCGANAGACGGAUCUGACGGYGAGGGACGAAAGYCWGGRGAGCAAAGRGGAUUAGAUACYCCUCGUAGUCCUGGCUGUAAACGAUGAUCUAAGACAUUGGCAAUCUCAUGUGGGUUGCCAGUGCCGUAGCGAAAGCGUUAAGUGGGCCGCCUGGGGAGUACGGUCGCAAGGCUGAAAUGGAAGGAGUCUGAAUAAUUUCAUGAUUUCAACCCUUUCUUGCGACGGUUAUCUCAAUCGGAAUUUUGUAAAGGGUAACUAUGCAGUAUUAGAAAAAUCUGUUAGAUUAGUCUAUCAGACUUCUUCUACAGCAAACUUAAGGGAAUUGGCGGGGGAGCACACAAGGGGUGGAGGCUGCGGUUUAAUUGGACUUAACGCCGGGAACCUUACCAGAGGCGACAGCAGGUUGAAGGUCCGCUUGACGAGCGUACCAGACACGCUGAGAAGUGGUGCAUGGCCGUCGUCAGUUCGUGUCGUGAGAUGUCCUGUUAAGUCAGGUAACGAACAAGACCCGCGCCCCAUGUUGCCACGGUAUAUUCGUAUGCCAGCACUCAUGGGGGACCGCUGGCGAUAAGCCAGAGGAAGGUGCGGUCGACGGCAGGUCAGUAUGCUCUGAAUCCUCUGGGUUACACGCGGCCUACAAUGGCUGGGACAAUGGGAUGCGACAUCGAAAGGUGAAGCUAAUCCCGAAACCCAGUCUCAGUACGGAUCGAGGGCUGCAACUCGCCCUCGUGAAGCCGAAAUCCCUAGUAGUCGCUGGUUAGCAUCCAGCGACGAAUACGUUCCUGCUCCUUGCACACACCGCCCGU
rnacentral:rRNA from 1 species